rnacentral:rRNA from 1 species
UGGGGAAUAUUGCACAAUGGGCGCAAGCCUGAUGCAGCCAUGCCGCGUGUAUGAAGAAGGCCUUCGGGUUGUAAAGUACUUUCAGCGGGGAGGAAGGGAGUAAAGUUAAUACCUUUGCUCAUUGACGUUACCCGCAGAAGAAGCACCGGCUAACUCCGUGCCAGCAGCCGCGGUAAUACGGAGGGUGCAAGCGUUAAUCGGAAUUACUGGGCGUAAAGCGCACGCAGGCGGUUUGUUAAGUCAGAUGUGAAAUCCCCGGGCUCAACCUGGGAACUGCAUCUGAUACUGGCAAGCUUGAGUCUCGUAGAGGGGGGUAGAAUUCCAGGUGUAGCGGUGAAAUGCGUAGAGAUCUGGAGGAAUACCGGUGGCGAAGGCGGCCCCCUGGACGAAGACUGACGCUCAGGUGCGAAAGCGUGCGGAGCAAACAGG